UACAGAGGGUGCGAGCGUUAAUCGGAAUUACUGGGCGUAAAGCGCGCGUAGGCGGCUUUGCAAGUCGGGUGUGAAAUCCCCAGGCUUAACCUGGGAACUGCAUUCGAGACUGCAUUGCUAGAGUAUGGGAGAGGGAAGUGGAAUUUCCGGUGUAGCGGUGAAAUGCGUAGAUAUCGGAAGGAACAUCAGUGGCGAAAGCGACUUCCUGGACCAACACUGACGCUGAGUGAGCGAAGCUAGGGGAGCAAACGGG
rnacentral:rRNA from 1 species